AGGUCAAGGUCAAAUAAAACCUGCGCUACUGACAUAUAGAUCAUAAAAUAUUUCCAUACACCAAAUAUAGUUGAUUUAUGGCAUAUAGUAUUAGAUAAAAACACCAAAUCACAAAAACUUUACUUUGACCACUGAACCAUGAAAAUUAAGUCAAGUCAGAUGACACCUGCUAGUUGGACAUGUACACCUUACAGUCCUUCCAUACACCGAAUAUACUAGACCUAUUGCUUAUAGUAUCUCAGAUAUGGACUUGACCACCAAAACUUAACCUUGUUCACUGAUCCAUGAAAUGAG
rnacentral:lncRNA from 1 species